UUUCAGUACAAGCAAGUCAAAGAGAGAAGGAAGAUGGGUAAUGACAGGACCAGUGCCGACUGUUGUUUGCACUAGAAUACGUAUUACUGUGGAGGCUGCAGGGCUGCUUAGCCAAUAUGAAUGUUGGAAAUCCCUGAACAUGCGUUUAUCCAUGCUGCAUCACCUGCUUGGUGUUGUCAUGGCAUCUUGGUGAGUGGUGGCAUCUUGGUGAGGGGUGAGUGAAGCAACCAGGUUGCAACACAGGGAAAACAGUAAUAUAGCAGAACCUCUUGUGCUUGCCUUACAUCCCAAGUAUAUAAAAUAUUUACCUUUCA